UACGAGGGGGGCGAGCGUUGUUCGGAAUCACUGGGCGUAAAGCGUGCGUAGGCGGUUAUGAAAGUUAGGAGUGAAAGCCCCCAGGCUCAACUUGGGAAUUGCUUUUAAUACUACAUGACUUGAAUUCGGGAGAGGAUAGCGGAAUUGUCAGUGUAGCAGUGAAAUGCGUAGAUAUUGACAGGAACACCGGUGGCGUAAGCGGCUAUCUGGACCGACAUUGACGCUGAGGCACGAAAAGCGUGGGGAGUCAAACAGGA
rnacentral:rRNA from 1 species